rnacentral:rRNA from 1 species
AAAACUUUCAACAACGGAUCUCUUGGUUCUGGCAUCGAUGAAGAACGCAGCGAAAUGCGAUAAGUAAUGUGAAUUGCAGAAUUCAGUGAAUCAUCGAAUCUUUGAACGCACAUUGCGCCCAUUAGUACUCUAGUGGGCAUGCCUGUUCGAGCGUCAUUACGACCCUUAAGCCUAGCUUAGUAUUGGGAACCUACGUGCGGCAGCUACCCUGUAGCUACCCUGUAGCUCCUUAAAGACAACGGCGGAGACGUGGAGUCCUCUGAGCUUAGUAAACUUUUUCUAGCUUCUGAAGGCGCCGCGGCCCCUGCCGUAAAACCCCCCCAACUCUUUAGUGGUUGACCUCGGAUCAGGUAGGAAUACCCGCUGAACUUAAGCAUAUCAAUAAGCGGAGGAAAAGAAACCAACAGGGAUUGCCUUAGUAACGGCGAGUGAAGCGGCAACAGCUCAAAUUUGAAAGCUGGCCUUCGGGUCCGCGUUGUAAUUUGUAGAGGAUGCUUUUGGUUAGGUGCCUUACGAGUUCCCUGGAACGGGACGCCUUAGAGGGUGAGAGCCCCGUACGUUUGGUUACCGAGCCUCUGUAAAGCUCCUUCGACGAGUCGAGUAGUUUGGGAAUGCUGCUCUAAAUGGGAGGUAAAUUUCUUCUAAAGCUAAAUACCGGCCAGAGACCGAUAGCGCACAAGUAGAGUGAUCGAAAGAUGAAAAGCACUUUGAAAAGAGGGUUAAAUAGCACGUGAAAUUGUUGAAAGGGAAGCGUUUAUGACCAGACUUUUUCCUGGCGGAUCAUCCGGUGUUCUCACCGGUGCACUUC